AACGAACGCUGGCGGCAUGCCUAACACAUGCAAGUCGAACGAGACCUUCGGGUCUAGUGGCGCACGGGUGCGUAACGCGUGGGAACCUGCCCUUAGGUUCGGAAUAACUCCCCGAAAGGGGUGCUAAUACCGGAUAAUGUCUUCGGACCAAAGAUUUAUCGCCUUUGGAUGGGCCCGCGUUGGAUUAGCUAGUUGGUAGGGUAAAAGCCUACCAAGGCGACGAUCCAUAGCUGGUCUGAGAGGAUGAUCAGCCACACUGGGACUGAGACACGGCCCAGACUCCUACGGGAGGCAGCAGUGGGGAAUAUUGGACAAUGGGCGAAAGGCUGAUGCAGCAAUGCCGCGAGAGUGAUGAAGGCCUUAGGGUAGUAAAGCUCUUUUACCCGGGAUGAUAAUGACAGUACCGGGAGAAUAAGCUCCGGCUAACUCCGUG
rnacentral:rRNA from 1 species